UCCACCAUCUGGCGAGCCCGCUUGACAUUCACAGUCCCUAAACGAGUGAAGGUCACAUGGCAAUGGAUAUACUAACUCCUUUCACUUUAAGAAAUAAUCUGAAGGCAUCGUUAUGGUUUUGGGACAAUAAGCAUUGAAAAGUAUCAAGGCUUUAAAGGUAUCCAUGACGACCAGGACCUGAUUCCAUUACACAGAGGCAUCAACAGUAGAGCAGAGGGAGAGAGAAGGUGCAGAAUGAAGGAAGUGGAGAGGCCAAACAUUUCCCAUUUCCUACUUUUCUUUUUAGGGAGGAAGCACCUGCUGUCCCUCUUCAGAGCUCUGGCUCAGUUCCAGAAUCAGCGUCGUACUGGCUAAAAUGCGGGCUCCUGUACCGUACCUGUACCUGCAGCAUCAGUGGGGAGGCACUAACAACACCUCCAAGUGAUCCUUGGACAUCACUGAGAACCCACUGGAAGCAGGAGAGCUGGCUGGUCUCACCAGUGCUUCUGCUAUGAUCUACUGUGUUGCCAAAGCCUGAAGCACAAGGGCCAAGUGACCAUGGGCUGAGACCCUCUCCCCCAAUAAAAACUACCGGCUCAAA